rnacentral:lncRNA from 1 species
CUACUGCAUCCCCCCAUUUUCUUUCGAAUUUAGAUUUUUUUUUUUAAAUUAAGUGUUUUGUAUAUGAUGUCGGACCAAUAUUUUGAUUUUAUCUCUGGUUUGUUAUUUGCGUUGUAAAUAUAUUAUGUUUAGAAAUAUCAUUUGAUCCUUGAGUUUCUGAACUUCAUUUUGUUGAGUAACUCAACAAAAUAUGCAGGCUAGGAAAGACUGGAAAUGCUAAGGGGUAAGGUAUGGUAUUUUUUGGUGAUUAUCGAAACAGAAAUGUGUGGGAAUAUUUUGUUUGUUAAAAAAUCAUUAUUUAACAAGAAAAUGUAAUUGAAUCAAACAGAUGCCAAUUUUGAAG